GACUAUAUAUAUUUUAAAACAAAUAAGUAUCACAAUACACGAAGGAAAUACCAGCAUUGAAGGUACACUGGCACAGGGACCAAACUUUUGAGGUUAUACUUUUGGCGCGUUAGGAAAAAAUGCUGUCACAAAAAGCCCAUGUCGGGGAGCCCAUAGGCUUUCAGCUUUGAAAGCAGAGGUCUGUGCCCUACCCGAUCGAAGGCUUUCGCUAUGUGCGAAGUUAGCUCCUCCCGUUGAACACAACUGCCUCUGCCACCUAUGUGUAAGGUGACCUCUCUUUCCAUUUCCUGUUGGCCCCUUCCACCUUGUUACCCUGACUCCAUUGCCAUUGUCCAUCCUAGCGGUAUGGCCAGCCAACUUCCACUUAAGUUUAUUGCAAUGUGUAUAGAUUGUUAAAACAAAUGAAUCAUUGUUAAAACCACCAAACACAUUGCUCCACUAAGAAAAGUGUUUUGGAACAUUUAAGGGUUUAAAACUGUAUGAACGACCCGUAAACAGUUUUUAGGUUGGUAAGGUGCAAUCUAUAAUUUAUAAGGCUGAAAAUUACAUUUGUUUUAAACUUAUUUUUCUGUUGUAUUGUCCAUUUAUCGACGGAAUUAUACAUAAAUUGACAAUGAAAUUAAAGAAAAUUAAAUAU